UACGUAGGGACCAAGCGUUGUUCGGAUUUACUGGGCGUAAAGGGCGCGUAGGCGGCUUGUCAAGUCACUUGUGAAAUCUCUGGGCUUAACCCAGAACGGCCAAGUGAAACUGACAUGCUAGAGUGUGGAAGGGGCAAUCGGAAUUCUUGGUGUAGCGGUGAAAUGCGUAGAUAUCAAGAGGAACACCUGAGGUGAAGACGGGUUGCUGGGCCAACACUGACGCUGAGGCGCGAAAGCCAGGGGAGCAAACAGG
rnacentral:rRNA from 1 species